rnacentral:tRNA from 4 species
UCCCCGGUAGCUCAACCGGUAGUAGCGGGUGGCUGUUAACCACUAGGUUGCAGGUUCGAGUCCUGCCCGGGGAGCCA